rnacentral:tRNA from 2 species
GCCCAGAUAGCUCAGUCGGUAGAGCAGAGGACUGAAAAUCCUCGUGUCGCUGGUUCGAUUCCGGCUCUGGGCAC